rnacentral:lncRNA from 1 species
CUCUACUCCCCUUCCUGACACCCCUUUCCGGGCCCCUGUAGGUGCGGCAACUACCCUAGGGCAAACUGUCUUAGAGACAGUCCUCAGGGAAGCUGCAGAAAAGGCCGGAGCCAAGGCCUGGAGGUGGAAGAGGGGAUGCAGACCCUCCCUGGCAACAAGAAAAGGGCAAACUCCAACCGCAGGGAGAUGAUGCCACUUGUGGGCUCUCAGAUUGGAGGGAAACGAGCUGAAUGACGGGGCCUCGCGCACAGCUCGGUGGAGGGAGAGACAGUGCGUGCGGAGGUGGAGGGGAGGGUCCUGUUGAACUCCCCACCAGCCCCUGGGAGGGGAGAUCGGAGGGUGAGCUCGGCGGUGACGCGGGGCCCUCACGUGACCGCGAGCUGCAGAGCGACGCAGCCUUCGGUGCAGUCGUCACUCCAGUCUGGGUACCAGCUCCCCGCUUCCCUGCACACGGCGGGCUGGCAUCGGGCCCCGCGGCAAGUGGAGCAGUGAUUCGUGUGGCAGUGUUUGUGGCGAGGCGAGGGAAGAAGAGGAGCAAACUGCACAGGAUCUGCGGAGGUCUUCCCAUAGGGCAACAGUAGGGCUCUUUACCACUGAAAGCAAAGGAAAGUGGGAGACUGGCCUGGGACUGUGGAGGUUGGUGUGAAGAUGGGCAGUGCAUAGGGGUAACAAGAGAGGGUGGGCAUAUAAGAUGGCUGAGAUUGAGAGAGAGUCUCAGUGGAGGGUUCUUCCACUUCUGCACUCUGCCAGAUUUCCCCAGUGUUGCCAUCCUCCCUGCUGAUAUCAGUGCAGGAAAUGGUAGGAACAUUGGGGUAAGGAUGGGCUGCAAUGGGACUGAGAGAGGACUUGAGAGGAUGGAUCAUAUUAGCAAAUUGGACAUGGGCUCUCACAGGCAGGGAUUGGAGUCAGGGAUCAGGGUACUUGUCCAUUCUGUGAAGGAUCUGAUCUCUAGUCCCUGUUUGUUUACUUGUCCACAGCUGGGUCUACAGGCCUGAAAGCUUGAGAUCACUGGAAGCAAGGAAAUACGGAGGAAAUUAUUCCUGAUCAGUAUAUGCUGGUAAGAGGAUGGGGAUUGCCUGGGUAGACAUCUAAGGUGGGUUGUUGGAGGUGAGUGUCUAUCUGGAGGUAUCCAGUGUCUAGUCUGGAGGAUACUCAGCCUUCCCCUUUUCCAGGCACUCUCCCCACCAUCCCUUCACUUACCCCACACCUUCACCUUUAUUGUGAUAACAGGGCAUGGGGUGAAUUUAAGAGGAUAGAGAGGGGUUUGUUAAUAAUAUAUGUCAUGGUAAACAAAAUCUUCACUCCUGUCUGUUCCUCCAUCUGUCUGUCUGUCUCUAGGUCCACAGAUCUCAUGAGUUUAUAGAUCUCCUUUAGGAUAUACCUCCAAUCAAGAGAAGGAAAGAGGUGGUAACUGCCUUGAUCAUUACAGGUUGGUAUGAGGGUGGGCACCUGUGGGAGUGGUGACCAGAGUAGGUCCAGUAAAAAUCAGGGUGUGAGGGCUUCAGUCUACCAUCCAUAGUCAGUGCUACCACCAUCCUUUCCACUGUUCAUUUGAUGUAAGAAAAUGUGUAUGGAAGUACC